AGGCCGGUUUCCGGCGAGCGCCCGCCAGCGGCCGCAGUUCAAGUGGCUCUCGGUUUUCCACUCCUAGCUACACCGGCUGUUGCCCACCGCCCUCUCUGCGCUUAUCCCGCUGCUGCUCCCAGACGCGAGGGAUACGGGAGUCAUCUUUCACCAGUGACCUGAAUCUUGUUUUCAGUCAGCGCAAGGCAGUGUCUCAGGUUAUAGGAACCAGAAGUCAAGGAAUGAAGGAAGAGGUCUCAGAACCAGUCUUAAGAAUCAAGUUCACCUUCUGGCAGUUUAAGAUCCUCACGAACUUCACCAGUUUCUGUCAGCAGGGAAAGAGAUGCAUAAUAAAAUAUUUGGAGAUAAAAUGAUAUGAUGUCUGGAAUUAGCAUCUGAAAGUGGACUAAUAGCCAGAAUAUACAAGGAACUCAACAACAAAAAACAAAUAAUUCCAUUAAAAAUUGUGCAAAGGAUACAAAUAGACAUUUUUCAAAAGAGGAUACAUAGAAAUCAACAUAACAAAAAGAUAACCUGCAUUCGUAUGUUGAUUGCAGCAUUAUUCACAAGAGCAAAGCUUCUUUUUGUAGCCUCCCCACUCCUUGCUCAAUGGUCUCAAUGACAGGCUUUCUCUCACCAAGGCUGAUCUGACUACAGCCACUGAGGACCUCAUGGAACAGACCAAUACAGAGUCCUGGAUAUGGCACCAUUUCCCAGGGGGAACAGUUAGCCAUUUGACUGAUAACACUGUACCCCUUCCAUCAUGGAAGUGGCAGAAAUUUGCCCUUAUUGCAAUAAAUUAUUGCCUUACAUAUGGAUUUGCCUUUCCUGCCUGCAGUGCUUCUGCCAAAAUCCCAUUUAGAUUUAUAGAAUAUGCCUCAUUCCUGUCAUAGUGCCUCACAUGGCCUCACUUCUGACUAAAAGAGUAAUUUUGUAGGCAUAAUCAUGAGGCACAGGACAAUGCCCAGAGAAUUCACUGGCUUAUAUACGUCAUCAUUCCAAAACUGCUUGCCUGUGAGGA